CUUCAUUUUCUCACUCUCUUCAACAAUCUUCUUCACAGCCUCACUAACUUUUUCAGCAAUCUGAGAUUCUUUUUCAACACCGGUGCCGAAUCAAAAACCACCAACACCACGUCAGAUCAUUCACCACCACCACCUCAACAGAACUCUCAGAUCUUGGAGUUUUUAGCUUCUGUUCAUGCUGUGUUUUUGUUGCGUUUUUAACUUCUGUUCCUCUUCCUGUUCAUGUUGUGUUCCUCUUUCUGCUGCGUUUUUAACUUCUGUUCAUGAUGUGUUUUUGUUGUUGGAAAUUUAA
rnacentral:lncRNA from 1 species